ensembl:lncRNA
GGGAAUCAAAAUAGUGGUACUUUUAGCCUUUGUUUCUUUUAUACCACACUGCAUUCUCUGUCUCUCACUCAGCUGCUUCUAUUAUACUGACAAAUUAAAUAAACCACUCCAUUGCUAAAGAGGCUUGGGCGGGCUGGGCUUCGUACACUGCCGCACUAGGAAGUUGAAAUAAACAUUUAUCCCGGUCUUAUUCUUAAUAAAUUUCAGCUAACUUUAGUUGAGCUUUUUUUAUUAUUAUUUUUUUCUAAUUUUUAAAAUUAUUUUUACAAGCAAAUGAAAGAAAGAGAGAAAUGGAAAAAAAAAAAAUAAGGAGUGCAUCAAUUUUUAUUUUUUUUUUUGCGCCGAUCUGCAGCACCAGGAGAUGCGGCGUCUGAAGCAGAGGAGUAAGGAGAAGCCCCAUGUCCAGGUACCAAGCCUGCUUUUUUAGCGCCCCACUUCCUAGCAGCGCCGAGAGUUCGUCCCCGCCGCGGUGCCUCUGGGAGUGGGAACGGGCACCUUGGGAAGCAACCCAUUCCACCAGAAUCGGACCCAACUGCCAAAUGCCAUCAAUGGGCUCUGCAGCCCGGAGCCCUGAGCUGUGGCUGCAAGGGGAUGGGGUAGUGAUGAUGUCCUGGGGCUGCGAGCGGCCAGUGCCUGCAGGCUAAGUUGGUGGAGCUUUUAUUCAAAAUAAAAAUCAGGUGAAAUUUCCUUCUAUUGUCUAGCCAAAUUCUCUUUAAUUUGCCCCAAGGGAAAGUCACUUGCCUUGCAGUGCCUUUUUUACUUUUUUUUUUUUGAGCUCGUCUCCGUCAACAUAAAUGCCUGGGGGUGCUCCCUGGGGGAUGAGUGGGGAAGCCGAAGGUCAGGGUUACCCACUGUGGCAUGACUUUUAAGCUAAAGGGGUUUUUAUUUCUCUUGUUUCCAUGUCAGGUUUCAUUUGGGCAGCAUUAUUCUGAAAGGGUGGGCCUGCUCUUGACAGGAGGGGGUUAAAUGGGAUUACAAGCUUUAGAGGCUGUCAGCAGCCACUGCUGCCUGGGGAUGUUAAAUUGCAAUUUAAUGGUCAGCUUUAUAUGUAUAGUAUCAGUGGAAAUCUGCUGUUUUCAGCAACUUAAUAGGAGCUGUGUUUUCAGGAAGGGACUGUUUUGGAGGGGGGGCGAGGAGUGGGUUUGCUGGCACUGGCAGCUCCUCCCGCCAGGCAGUGGCCGGGCACCAAGGGGCUCUUCCAGUGUGUCCCAACUUCCCCAAACCAGCUCCGUGCCUCAGGCAGGAAGAGAGCAAGCAGUCCUCACUGGAGCAUCGGAGAGUAGGGAGAGAGGGCAGGAAGGUGCUGAGGCGAAGAGGGCAUGAAGGCACUGAGGGGAUGAGGGCAAGAAGGCAAUGAUGGGGUUGCUCAUUGUGUAGGAUUGGCUCCAAAGGCCAGCCACCAGUCAAACUGCCAGUUGGGGGGGAUCUGUAGAUGCAUGUCUUAUGAGUAUCAGUGUGUGUAGAGGUGCUGUGAGGGGCAGAGGGGUAAAGCGUGCUGAGGGGCAGACAGCAAGGCCCCACCAGAGGGCAUCGGUAUUGUCUGUUGGCGAGUGAGGGGUCAGCCCGGAAUGUUCAGGAUUAGUAAAUUUAAUAUCCUGUCAAAAUUCUCAUGAUAAUGAGUGCUGGCUCGGCUGGCUGGUGGGGCUGGCACAGCAGCCUGGGCGCUGCAGCUCCCGAGAUAGCGCCGCUAAUUUAUGGGCAGGAGAUU